CUCCCAACCCUGGGAUCAUGACCUAAGCUGAAGUCAAGAGUUGGACACUCAACUGACUGAGUCACCUGGGUGCUCCAGGUUAACUGCUUCUUAAGGAGCCUUUCCCAGGUAAAGUUCACAUCCAAUAAAAGGAGGCCUCCAGGAGAACAUCUUUUUUUCUUCUUUUACCACCCAAGAGAAG